rnacentral:rRNA from 1 species
AUUGAACGCUGGCGGCAGGCCUAACACAUGCAAGUCGAGCGGAUGAAGGGAGCUUGCUCCUGGAUUCAGCGGCGGACGGGUGAGUAAUGCCUAGGAAUCUGCCUGGUAGUGGGGGAUAACGUCCGGAAACGGGCGCUAAUACCGCAUACGUCCUGAGGGAGAAAGUGGGGGAUCUUCGGACCUCACGCUAUCAGAUGAGCCUAGGUCGGAUUAGCUAGUUGGUGGGGUAAAGGCCUACCAAGGCGACGAUCCGUAACUGGUCUGAGAGGAUGAUCAGUCACACGGGAGCUGAGACACGGUCCAGACUCCUACGGGAGGCAGCAGUGGGGAAUAUUGGACAAUGGGCGAAAGCCUGAUCCAGCCAUGCCGCGUGUGUGAAGAAGGUCUUCGGAUUGUAAAGCACUUUAAGUUGGGAGGAAGGGCAGUAAGUUAAUACCUUGCUGUUUUGACGUUACCAACAGAAUAAGCACCGGCUAACUUCGUG